rnacentral:rRNA from 1 species
CAGAAUGAUUAGUGGCGAACGGGUGAGUAACACGUGAGUAACCUGCCCCUGACUCUGGGAUAAGCCUGGGAAACUGGGUCUAAUACCGGAUAUGCACCGUGGACCGCAUGGUUUUUGGUGGAAAGAUUUUUUGGUCAGGGAUGGACUCGCGGCCUAUCAGCUUGUUGGUGAGGUAAUGGCUCACCAAGGCGACGACGGGUAGCCGGCCUGAGAGGGUGACCGGCCACACUGGGACUGAGACACGGCCCAGACUCCUACGGGAGGCAGCAGUGGGGAAUAUUGCACAAUGGGCGAAAGCCUGAUGCAGCGACGCCGCGUGAGGGAUGACGGCCUUCGGGUUGUAAACCUCUUUCAGUAGGGAAGAAGCGAAAGUGACGGUACCUGCAGAAGAAGCGCCGGCUA